rnacentral:rRNA from 1 species
UAGAGUUUGAUCCUGGCUCAGGAUGAACGCUAGCGGCAGGCCUAAUACAUGCAAGUCGAGGGGCAGCGAGUCUAGCAAUAGAUGUCGGCGACCGGCGCACGGGUGCGUAACACGUAUACAAUCUGCCUAUAACAGGGGGAUAGCCCGGAGAAAUCCGGAUUAACCCCCCAUAACAAUAGAAGAAGCAUUUCUUUUAUUUGAAAACUACGGUGGUUAUAGAUGAGUAUGCGCAUGAUUAGCUAGUUGGUGAGGUAACGGCUCACCAAGGCGACGAUCAUUAGGGGUACUGAGAGGUUAAACCCCCACACGGAUACUGAGACACGGAUCCGACUCCUACGGGAGGCAGCAGUAAGGAAUAUUGGACAAUGGCCGCAAGGCUGAUCCAGCCAUGCCGCGUGCAGGAAGAAGGCGCUAUGCGUUGUAAACUGCUUUUGAACAAGAGAAAACCCUUCUACGUGUAGAAGGCUGAUAGUAUUGUUAGAAUAAGCAUCGGCUAACUUCGUGCCAGCAGCCGCGGUAAGACGAAGGAUGCAAGCGUUAUCCGGACUCAUUGGGUUUAAAGGGAGCGUACGCGGGCUUAUAAGUCAGUGGUGAAAUCUCCUUGCAUAACAAGGAAACUGCCAUUGAUACUGUAGGUCUAGAGUACAUUUGCUGUGGGCGGAAUAUGACAUGUAGUGGUGAAAUACUUAGAUAUGUCAUAGAACACCGAUUGCGACGGCAGCUCACAAAAUGUACUGACGCUGAGGCUCGAAAGUGCGGGGAUCAAACAGGAUUAGAUACCCUGGUAGUCCGCACUGUAAACGAUGAUUACUCGCUGCUU